GUUGCUCUUCUCACCUGUUAUCAGUAGGUGGCAGAGAGGAGAGAAGCUAUGUGUACUCUCAGUGUUCUGAACUAUGGACAUCUGAAAUAUUGUUAACCUGACAUU
ensembl:snoRNA LOC120094515 small nucleolar RNA SNORA17